AAAAAAAACAUAGGUUUCUCCGAUGGCGAUUCAAAACAAAAAGAGAAAGGAGAAACCAAAAGAAAAAGAACAUAGCCCUCUACAAUUUUCAUCCGCUUAUUAAUUCCUUGUUCUUUCUUCAAUUUUCUAAAGUUUUCGUCGGUUUUGAAAUUAAAAAAAAAACAAAAGAAACAAAAGGAUUCUCCGAUGUCGAUUCAGCUGCCACAAGAGAUAGACUGCGAUUCGUUCCUCUCAGAUCAGAACAGUUUGUAUGUUGAUUCCCAGACAAAUAAUCAGAUAUCGGACAUAUCUGAAGCAAUAUCCGACAAAAAAUGGAUAAUAAACCUUCUAAGGUGUUAACAAAUUGUGUCCUUAUGUUCGUUGAUGAAGUAAACGUCAUAAGUUUCUUUAUAAGAAGUUCAAAGAAAGCUGGAGAGUAUGUGUCUGGAUAAAAAGAGAGUUUCACGCUAAGCUGGAAAAACAUAAAUCAGAUAAGUAAAAAACAUUGUACAUUUAUUCUGUGUAAUGUUUUUUUGGUUUGAUGUUAAUAACUUACGGUUUAUUUUGUUUUUUUCUUGUAGGAUCUUACGAUAAAUGAAGGAUCAGAGGAAGAAGUAUGUGAAUUUGGUUGAGUCAGUGAAAGAUUCAGGAGGAGAGGAUGAACUUGAUUUGGAUGAGUCAUUGUUUCAGGGUAAAAGUUGGCAAAACUCACUGGGAUUGCAGCUCUUCUCAAUUUACCAUUACCAGACCUCGAAGACAUUGCAGCUCUUUUCAGCAACUCACUGGCCCAACUCAUUGGGUUUGCAGCUCUUCUCAGCUCAUCUCAGCUCUUCUCAUGUGUCUGCGCUAAAUGAAAGAGAAGACCAUGUGUUUUGACCUGACAUAAUGAAUCAGGAUGCAGGAACAACUUGGUGGAGGAAGGUAAUUGUUUGUCUCUGUUAUGGAUGUUUCUGAGAUUUCUGAUGAUAAUACGAUUGAUAUAUGGGUUGCAAAACAGAUGUGUUGUUGUAUUGUUUACAAAUAAGUUGUGGUUCAUGUUUUUAUUUUGUUUGGGUCACGUUUUGUUGGGUUGGAAGUUUUGUGUCGUUGUAUUGUUUAGAAAUAAGUUGUGGUUCAUGUUUAUGAUUUUGUUUGGGUCAUGUUUUGUUAUAAAUAAAUUGAAUAUCGUAUGA